CGCCUUCCCCAAUGCCCAUAAAAGCGCAUGUCCCCGUCUCGGUAGCCACUGGACACCUGCAUCUGCCAACAAGACCGGAAGCAGAAAGUGACAAAGACGGCGAAGUUUGACAGUCUGGAAAGCGGAGACCAGACGGGCUGACUACCUGAGAGCACCGCGACUCCGGACAGCGCCUCUCGGGGUCCGGGAUGGGACCCGCGAUCUGCUUCAGCACCGGGGCUGCGGACAGCUCCUGGCGGAGGCCCGGGGCCCCUCCGACAUCGUUUCAGCACCCGGACAGCGGACAGCUCCCCGAGAUAAUAAGCAGGCGCGAUGAAACCGCACGUAGAAAUCUGUAAUUCCCAGCAGACUUCCGUGAGAAGCAUUGUGCCAAGCGUUUUGCAUAGAUUCUAUCAUGCCAUCUGCAAUCCUAGGACACGGGUGUUACGAUGCCCAGGUGACAGUUGAGAAAACUGAGACCCAGAGAGGGGCAGGGAAUUAUUAGCCCAAGGGCUCUCAGCCCAACAGUGAAGCUGCAAGUCAAUCCCACAUGCAGCCACUCCGAAUUCCGUGUUUCUGACAUGCCUGGGGGGGGGGGGUGGAGUUGGGGCCUUGGAGAUCAGACCCUGCCUCUCUCCAAGAGGACCAGGAAUGGAAAACAGGAGGCGGUGGAGAAGCAAGAAGCCCGGGUGUUCCGGCUUGGCUCAGUUCCAGGGGCCAAUUACAGGACAGGUGUCCACUCGUGCCUGGUAGUUGUGGCAUCAUCAACGCCCACCCCAAAUUCUCUGUGACAUCCUAAUGAAGUCAGAGACACCACGUCAAGCUCGUUGCAGCCUCAGAGUCCUUGCCUUUGCUGUUCCCUCAGCUUGGAAUGCUCUGCUCCCCAAGCACCCCAAGGCUCCCUCCGCCUUCUUAUCCAAGCCUCAGGUCACCAAGAGAAUCUUGUCUCCCACCCCCCCCCCCAUAGCAAGUCUAUAUUAUACAUUCUCAUAGACACGGGAAAUCUCUCUGGCACCUAGUCCAAUUCUUUUGUCUUAUCUGUUUACAGGGCUGUCUGUCUCCCCCCACUACACUGUGAGCCCCUUGAGGACAGAGACUGUGUUUGUAUUUUCCCAGCACUCAUGCAUGGCCUUGCACACAGCAGGUGCUCAAUAAAUGUUUGUUGAAUCAGUAAAGGCAUCAGAGGAUAAAACAACGUAUCAGUCAAUAAAGGAAUUUAUGGUUUCAGUAUGCACAUGAAGGUCCUACUUCUUUCUCCUCGACGUCCCCCACAGAGAUGCCACAGGGUGAUGGUGGCCGCGGGUGGUUAUUGGGGAGUAUAAUUAAAUUUGUGGGCACUCAAGGGCCAGCCAGCCAACGAAUAGCCCCAGGAGAGAGCCAGGCUCGUUUAAUUAGCAAUUACGAGGCAUUGAUUCCUCAUUAGUUCCGGCAACCCCGUCUCCCUCCCCAGCCCCAGACAAAUGAAAUCUUUCUCUCCCC
rnacentral:lncRNA from 1 species